UGAGUUGAAGCUGAACUGUAGCAUUUGGCCGUUAACCAAAAGGAUGGAGGUUAUUAACCCUUCCAACUCAG
rnacentral:tRNA from 1 species